rnacentral:rRNA from 1 species
UACAGAGGUCCCAAGCGUUGUUCGGAUUCACUGGGCGUAAAGGGUGCGUAGGCGGUCGGGUAAGUCUGAUGUGAAAUCUCCAAGCUCAACUUGGAAAUGGCAUCGGAUACUAUUCGGCUCGAGGAAUGGAGGGGAGACUGGAAUUCCUGGUGUAGCGGUGAAAUGCGCAGAUAUCAGGAGGAACACCGGUGGCGAAGGCGGGUCUCUGGGCCGAUACUGACGCUGAGGAGCGAAAGCGUGGGGAGCGAACAGG